GUGCUGGGGAGGCUGGGCAGGUGGAAGGCGGUUGUGCCCUGCUUGGGGAUGGGGAAGACUCUGUGGCAGUCCGCAUGCUGCUGGGUGGAAGGAGGUGGAGUUUGCUUCUGUGAUGCCAAAGAUGAUUGUUUGCUGAGCAGUGGGAAUUUGAGUCGUGUGCCGAGCGGUUAAGUAGCUUGAGCUACAAAUGCUCAUUAUGUGAGAAACAGGCUAAAAUAAGGUCUGUUUUACAUCAUAAGAGGCAUUUCCCCAGCUGCAGUAUUUUAUCUUUGUUCUGUGAGGCAUUCCCUGGUUAGUCUUCAGAGUGGGAUUUACUGGCCAGAGGAAAAGGUUUUUGAGGCACUGUUAGUGACUGCAGGAGGAAUACUACCAGUUGUCACAAAUGCUUCCCGCUCUCUGAGGAGGUUCCGCUUUCCUUAAGGAAAGGUUGGUUGGUGAUAAUAAUUGUCACUUGCUCUGGAUAUUUGCUUGUGGAGCUGAGAAAACAAACAACAACAACAACAAAGAGACACAAGGUGCGCACCAAGGAGCAACGGAGGAGGUGGGCCGAGCACUGUAAGAAGGUGUGAAGUGAUGAGCAAAGCAGGAUAUUGGCCCUGGCGGUGACUCAGGCCGGGUGCCACACGUAGCCUUGGAGGCACGAAGCCGUAUGAAGGUGAGCGGUCCGAGAAGGCACUGUACGGGCUGCCUUUGGAACAGGGGAAACAUUUGAGUUACAACCAGCAGUGAUGGCUGCAGCGUCCGUUGCUGGAACGAGCAGGAGAGUAGAACGCCACGGCCCUUUUGAGGAAGGGGCUGGUAUGGGAGAGGUUGCUGUCAAAUGGUGUGAUGCUGAUGGCUGGCACUGUUUUGAUGCAGACAGACAAGGCGCACAGCAAAGAGCGGCAGAGGUGGCGAUCAGAGUGCCAUAAGAAGGUGUCACAUUGCUGGCUAAGUUAAAGGUAUCCCUUGUGUUUUCUAAGUGGGAUGCAACCAUGGCAGCCCUAAAUGACAGAGGCCAGGUGCCGCAGGGAGCCUCGGAAGGGUGAAGCCACGUGCCGACGAGCGGUCCGAGAAGGCGCUGUGUGGCCACAUUUGGAACUGGAUGCCCGUUUGAGCAUCUUAGGUGCCACAAGCGAUGACGACCGCAGCGUCUGUCUCUGGAACGAGGAGUUUGAAGAGGAUCCAGGCAACUGCAGGAACGUCCCAGUUAGCUGAUGUGUGAUGUGCACAUUGUUGAUUGUGGAUGGAUUCAGAUCCUCAGCCCUCUGAAAGCUAAGUUGAGGGACUGUGGCUGGGGAGGGAGUGGGCUGACAAGGGGGCAAGUCUGGGGGUUGCAGGUGAGGGGUUUCAUGGUUAGCAUAGGGGAGAGGGCUGUCUGGGAGCAGUCCCAUUUGGGUGAGCCAAGAGAGCGGGUUACUUGCUAGUGCCAUGCUAGACUGUGCCGGGCAGGGCAGUUCCAGCCUGAGUCUGAGUUGUUGUGUAGCUCGUCUUCUGUGUCUUAGCCCUUCCUCCGGCUCUCAAUGCCCCUUUUGCUCUCCAGGGGCAUGGUGCGCUUCUCAGGUGCCAUCCCUAGGGUCUCUAACGCCUCUACUCAUUGGCGUAGCGCCAGUCGGGCACUUCUUUUCUUGCAUAGCAAGCUCUAUAGCGUGGAUCGGUCUUGCAUCUUGGAAAUUUCUGCUGGGUCCUCUUCUUGCAGCCUCUUCCCAGGCUGCAUUGGGACCUCGGCUCUCCAGCCAUCCCUUUUCAGGGACCAGGGCUUCUUCCCUGCAUCCUUUACAUUCUUAGGUCUUCUUGCGCAUCCAUCAUCUCGGGUUAGAUGAUAACUUCUUAUAAUAGGCCAUCACAGUCCAUUCUUUUCUGGGGUUGCCAUAGAGCUUCCUCAUCCGGGCAUUGCGCCCUGUAGGUCAUCUUGCUCGGCAGCAUUUCUGGUCUGGAAGUCCUCCUUCUUGCUGAGAGUUUUCUCUCAUCUUUGAGUUGCAUUGUGUUCUGUGUAGUGUUGGUCUGUGUGUGUGUGUCUUGGGCGUGGAACUGCUCUGCUCGGGGGUGUCGAGCCAGGGUUAGGUGGAAUAGCCAUAAGAGUGCCUGGAACCUGGUUAGCCUAUGUGUGGUGCAUAUGUCUUCUGUCCGAGAUAGCUUUCAGAGGGCCGGGGAUCUGGAACCAAG